rnacentral:tRNA from 1 species
UUAGAUCCGGCCCUACCCAAAUUUUUCUGGUUCACCCCAACAUUCCCCACUUGUCCGACUGUUGCUGAGCAGUUU